rnacentral:misc_RNA from 1 species
AUUGCAGAGACCAGUGCUGCUUUGCUGGCUGUAUCGCAUCUCUACUCCCUCUUUCCUCACGCUGCAGUGCGCCCCUUUCUUGUGCGGAGGGCAACUCGAUUUGCAAGCGCAGACACGCUCGCACUGCGGUUCAUACACGAGACCAUCCUCGCUUUCCCUAGGAUGCAGCGCUGCCGUCUCUUAGCCGCCUCGUGGAAGACGAAGGUGGACCCCACGAACCCUCGGCGCAUCGUACACCUGCCGAACCGGACCCCCUGCAUGGUGACGCUGGAGGCUGGUGCGAAGUACUACUGGUGUUCGUGUGGGCUGAGCAAGACGCAGCCCUUCUGCGACGGCGCCCACCGUGCGUACAAUGAGGAGCACAAGACAGACUUGAAGCCGAAGGAGUUCACGGUGGACACCUCCAAGAAGUACUUACUGUGCCGCUGCAAGCACACGGACAACAGCCCGUUCUGCGACUUAUCGCACGUCGGCGUGCUCUUCCGGACGAUGGUUGGCAUCGAGAAGAUUCCGGGUGGCAAAUAGGGCAAAAGUGGGAUGCACAUGACAACAAGGGAGGGCGAAAGCGCGCACCAAACAGGCAGUAGCGCAGCAAUGCGGAGCGAAGCACGGUUUCAUUUCUCCACAUUUUCUCUUCAUCACAGCAUCGGGGCUGGCUGUGACUCGUUGUACUGCCGUUUUGCUCGCCACUUCCGUCGUUUCUCCGCCGUUUCUUUCCGUCGCACUGUAUGCAUCUCAUACCCGCCUCACGCACUUCGUUUUGGGCUCUCUCUCCUUGGCCCUCUUUCGAUUUUUGAAUAAAAGAUCCCUUCCCCAUUCGUCACCUUUAUCUGUCCCUCCCCCUCCCUCGACACACACACACACACACACACACACACACGUGUACGAGUACACAUACACGCUUCUUCAGCUUUUUUUUUCGCGGGCGCCGAUCUCCCGGCAGCAGUGCGCUUGCGUUGAAGCACGGCAUCAGCGAGCGAGGAGGCAGAGAGAUGCAGAGAAAAGGCGAAGGGGAGGGGUUGCGGGGCAGAGGAUCCCCGCUACUCAGCCCUAUUUUCGUGGUUCAGGCUCCGUGAGCACACAUAAAUUGCUGAAGCAUGUGCUUGUGUGUGUGUGUACAAUUUGAGACACACGAAGUGAUU